rnacentral:ncRNA from 1 species
UUUACCGACUAAGCUAUGAGGGAAACCCUAGAGAGGGAGAGGGAGCCUGAGAAAUGGCUACCACCUUCAAGGAAGGCAGCAGGCAGGCAAAUUACUCUCUCGUGACCCAGGGAGGUAGUGAUAAA